UUUUUGUUGCUUUCUGUAGAUUUCACCUCCUUCCAAGUUGCCAUCUUCUCUGCCACUUCUGCCGCUGUACGACCAACCUCCCAUCAGCCCUUUCACCAGCCCUGAGACCUCCACCCCGCCUCCCCUGCCACGCUCCCCCUCAGCUACGCAGAACGGGGAGCACAAGCUUCCCCUGCCAGCCUCUUCACACAAAGGGCAGCUGUCGUCUCGCAGUCAGAGCUCUGGGAGGAGUCCAGUUUCUCCAGGAUUUGCUCAGACUCCGCCGCUGCGACUCACGAUCGAAGGAGGUCCAGGAAAACUACGACCAGUGCGAGCUGCUCCCCCUCCACCCAAACAGCAGCCCCGUCGGCAGCAGGACAAGAGCGACAAGACGGAGGAGGUGGAGAUCACGCUGGUGUGACGGACGAGCUGUCGUUACAGGUGCACAAAAGAUGGAACUGUAAGAAAAACAGGACCUUUGAGGGAGGGGGUGGUGCUCUGAAAUAAACUGAUGAGAACUGCUGAACCACACCGACCCCUCCCGGACACUCUGCAUCUUCAGGUUGAAGAGGAGAGCAGAGAGACAGCAGCCAUCAAUGAGUCCUCUGACCUAAUGAAGUGCAGCAGAAGAGUCCCUCUUCAUCCUCCCCCGUUCUUCCAGUCCGGCAUCAGAACCUCACCCCUCCUCUCAGGCAGCAAACCGGAGCGCCGUGGAGAAGAGGAGGAGCUGAUAAACAAUGUUUUUUCUUUUGUCUCGUUAAUCUGAAUACAAGGCAGCACAGAGGUGUUCUCUUCUUUUUAAACUCAUUUGACAACACGUUAUUCUU